rnacentral:rRNA from 1 species
AUGAACGCUGGCGGCGUGCUUAACACAUGCAAGUCGAGCGAUGAAGUUUCCUUCGGGAAACGGAUUAGCGGCGGACGGGUGAGUAACACGUGGGUAACCUGCCUCAUAGAGUGGAAUAGCCUUCCGAAAGGAAGAUUAAUACCGCAUAACGUUGAAAGAUGGCAUCAUCAUUCAACCAAAGGAGCAAUCCGCUAUGAGAUGGACCCGCGGCGCAUUAGCUAGUUGGUGGGGUAACGGCCUACCAAGGCGACGAUGCGUAGCCGACCUGAGAGGGUGAUCGGCCACAUUGGGACUGAGACACGGCCCAGACUCCUACGGGAGGCAGCAGUGGGGAAUAUUGCACAAUGGGGGAGACCCUGAUGCAGCAACGCCGCGUGAGUGAUGAAGGUUUUCGGAUCGUAAAGCUCUGUCUUUGGGGAAGAUAAUGACGGUACCCAAGGAGGAAGCCACGGCUAACUACGUGCCAGCAGCCGCGGUAAUACGUAGGUGGCGAGCGUUAUCCGGAUUUACUGGGCGUAAAGGGAGCGUAGGCGGAUGAUUAAGUGGGAUGUGAAAUACCCGGGCUCAACUUGGGUGCUGCAUUCCAAACUGGUUAUCUAGAGUGCAGGAGAGGAGAGUGGAAUUCCUAGUGUAGCGGUGAAAUGCGUAGAGAUUAGGAAGAACACCAGUGGCGAAGGCGACUCUCUGGACUGUAACUGACGCUGAGGCUCGAAAGCGUGGGGAGCAAACAGGAUUAGAUACCCUGGUAGUCCACGCCGUAAGCGAUGAAUACUAGGUGUGGGGGUUUCAACACCUCCGUGCCGCCGCUAACGCAUUAAGUAUUCCGCCUGGGGAGUACGGUCGCAAGAUUAAAACUCAAAGGAAUUGACGGGGACCCGCACAAGUAGCGGAGCAUGUGGUUUAAUUCGAAGCAACGCGAAGAACCUUACCUACACUUGACAUCCCUUGCAUUACUCUUAAUCGAGGAAAUCCCUUCGGGGACAAGGUGACAGGUGGUGCAUGGUUGUCGUCAGCUCGUGACGUGAGAUGUUGGGUUAAGUCCCGCAACGAGCGCAACCCUUGUCGUUAGUUACUACCAUUAAGUUGAGGACUCUAGCGAGACUGCCUGGGUUAACCAGGAGGAAGGUGGGGAUGACGUCAAAUCAUCAUGCCCCUUAUGUGUAGGGCUACACACGUGCUACAAUGGCUGGUACAGAGAGAUGCAAUACCGUGAGGUGGAGCCAAACUUUAAAACCAGUCUCAGUUCGGAUUGUAGGCUGAAACUCGCCUACAUGAAGCUGGAGUUACUAGUAAUCGCGAAUCAGAAUGUCGCGGUGAAUACGUUCCCGGGUCUUGUACACACCGCCCGUCACACCAUGAGAGUUGGCAAUACCCGAAGUCCGUGAGCUAACCGCAAGGAGGCAGCGGCCGAAGGUAGGGUCAGC